GUGGGGAAUAUUGGACAAUGGGCGAAAGCCUGAUCCAGCCAUGCCGCGUGUGUGAAGAAGGUCUUCGGAUUGUAAAGCACUUUAAGUUGGGAGGAAGGGCAGUAAGUUAAUACCUUGCUGUUUUGACGUUACCGACAGAAUAAGCCCCGGCUAACUACGUGCCAGCAGCCGCGGUAAUACGUAGGGGGCAAGCGUUGUCCGGAAUGAUUGGGCGUAAAGGGCGCGUAGGCGGCCCGGGAAGUCUGAAGUGAAAGUCCUGCUUUUAAGGUGGGAAUUGCUUUGGAUACUGUCGGGCUUGAGUGCAGGAGAGGUAAGCGGAAUUCCCGGUGUAGCGGUGAAAUGCGUAGAGAUCGGGAGGAACACCAGUGGCGAAGGCGGCUUACUGGACUGUAACUGACGCUGAGGCGCGAAAGUGUGGGGAGCAAACAGGAUUAGAAACCCCUGUAGUCC
rnacentral:rRNA from 1 species